UAAGACGGAGGGUGCUAGCGUUGUCCGGAAUCACUGGGCGUAAAGGGCGCGCAGGCGGCCCCGCCCGUCGGGCGUGAAAGCCCGGGGCUCAACCCCGGAACGGCGCCCGAGACGGCGGGGCUGGAGACCGGGAGAGGAGGGUGGAAUAGCCAGUGUAGAGGUGAAAUUCGUAGAUAUUGGCUGGAACACCGGUGGCGAAAGCGGCUCUCUGGCCCGGGUCUGACGCUGAGGCGCGAAAGCGUGGGGAGCAAACAGGAUUAGAUACCCUGGUAGUCCACGCCCUAAACGAUGUGCGCUGGGCGUCGGGGGGCUUGCCCCUCGGUGCCGGAGCCAACGCGGUAAGCGCACCGCCUGGGGAGUACGGCCGCAAGGUUA
rnacentral:rRNA from 1 species